rnacentral:rRNA from 1 species
AUGCCGCGUGCAGGAUGAAGGCCUUCGGGUUGUAAACUGCUUUUGUACGGAACGAAACGGUCUGCCCUAAUACUAGUGGGCUAAUGACGGUACCGUAAGAAUAAGCACCGGCUAACUACGUGCCAGCAGCCGCGGUAAUACGUAGGGUGCGAGCGUUAAUCGGAAUUACUGGGCGUAAAGCGUGCGCAGGCGGUUAUAUAAGACAGAUGUGAAAUCCCCGGGCUCAACCUGGGACCUGCAUUUGUGACUGUAUAGCUAGAGUGCGGUAGAGGGGGAUGGAAUUCCGCGUGUAGCAGUGAAAUGCGUAGAUAUGCGGAGGAACACCGAUGGCGAAGGCAAUCCCCUGGACCUGUACUGACGCUCAUGCACGAAAGCGUGGGGAGCAAACAGGAUUAGAUACCCUGGUAGUCCACGCCCUAAACGAUGUCAACUGGUUGUUGGGUCUUCACUGACUCAGUAACGAAGCU